rnacentral:rRNA from 1 species
UACGUAGGCAGCAAGCGUGGUUCGGAGUUACUGGGCGUAAAGGGUGUGUAGGCGGGUCUUUAAGGUUGGGGUGAAAUCUCCCGGCUCAACCGGGAGGGUGCGCCGAAUACUGAGGGACUAGAGUGUGGGAGAGGAAAGUGGAAUUCCUGGUGUAGCGGUGAAAUGCGUAGAUAUCAGGAGGAACACCGGUGGUGUAGACGGCUUUCUGGACCAUAACUGACGCUGAGACACGAAAGCGUGGGUAGCAAACAGG